CACCGCGGUUAGACGAGAGGCCCCAGUUGAUUAUAUAACGGCGUAAAGGGUGGUUAAGGAGUUUAAUAAAAUAAAGCCAAAUGGCCCUUUGGCCGUCAUACGCUUCUAGGUGUCCGAAACCCAACACGAAAGUAGCUUUAGUAAUUCAACCCGACCCCACGAAAGCUGAGAAA
rnacentral:rRNA from 1 species